rnacentral:rRNA from 1 species
GUCUACGGCUAUGCCACCCUGUACAUGCCGGAUCUUAUUUGAUCUCAGAAGCUAAGCAGGGUCGGGUCUGGUU